rnacentral:rRNA from 1 species
AGAGCGAACGCUGGCGGCAUGCUUAACACAUGCAAGUCGCACGGGCAGGGGAAACCCUGUCAGUGGCGGACGGGUGAGUAACGCGUAGGUAUCUAUCCUUGGGUGGGGGACAACGGCUGGAAACGGCUGCUAAUACCGCAUGAUGACCGAGGUCUAAAGGCGCAAGUCGCCUGGGGAGGAGCCUGCGUACGAUUAGCUUGUUGGUGGGGUAAAGGCCUACCAAGGCUACGAUCGUUAGCUGGUCUGAGAGGAUGAUCAGCCACAUUGGGACUGAGACACGGCCCAAACUCCUACGGGAGGCAGCAGUGGGGAAUAUUGGACAAUGGGCGCAAGCCUGAUCCAGCAAUGCCGCGUGUGUGAAGAAGGUCUUCGGAUUGUAAAGCACUUUCGACGGGACGAUGAUGACGGUACCCGUAGAAGAAGCCCCGGCUAACUUCGUGCCAGCAGCCGC